GUAGAUCCUCUAUUUGUUAGCCA
rnacentral:siRNA from 1 species